rnacentral:rRNA from 1 species
UACGUAGGGGGCAAGCGUUGUCCGGAAUCAUUGGGCGUAAAGCGCGUGUAGGCGGCUCGAUAAGUCUGCUGUGAAAGUUCAGGGCUCAACCCUGAAAUGCCGGUGGAAACUGUCGGGCUAGAGUCCGGAAGAGGCGAGUGGAAUUCCUGGUGUAGCGGUGAAAUGCGCGAUAUCAGGAGGAACACCAAUGGCGAAGGCAGCUCGCUGGGACGGUACUGACGCUGAGACGCGAAAGCGUGGGGAGCAAACAGG